CCUACGGGAGGCAGCAGUGAGGAAUCUUUGUCAAUGGGCGCGAGCCUGAACCAGCCAAGUAGCGUGAAUGAUGACUGCCCUACGGUUUUUAAACUUCUUUUAUAAAGGAAUAAAUGGAGGCACGUGUGUCUUUUUGUAUGUACGUUAUGAAUACGGAUCGGCUAACUCCGUGCCAGCAGCCGCGGUAAUACGGAGGAUCCGAGCGUUAUCCGGAUUUAUUGGGUUUAAAGGGAGCGUAGAUGGGUUGUUAAGUCAGUUGUGAAAGUCUGCGGCUCAACCGUAAAAUUGCAAUUGAUACUGGCAGUCUUGAGUACAGUUGAGGUAGGCGGAAUUCGUGGUGUAGCGGUGAAAUGCGUAGAUAUGACGAAGAACACCGAUUGCGAAGGCAGCUUACUAAACUGUAACUGACGUUGAUGCUCGAAAGUGUGGGUAGCAAACAGGAUUAGAUACCCCAGUAGUC
rnacentral:rRNA from 1 species